rnacentral:pre_miRNA from 1 species
AAAUAGUACAACCAUCAGUUUUCACGUUUAACUUUUGAUCGUCCGUCUUUUUCUAAAAAAAAUUAUAAUUAGCAUUUUUAUUGUUAUAAGAUGAUAAAACAUGAAUAAUACUUUACUCGUGACUUAUAUUUUAAAUUUUUUAAAAAAUAUUUUUAAAUAAGACGCACGGUCGAAAAAUCAUGACUGCACUUAUU